UCAUGUAAUGAUUUCCUAGUGGUCUUGAUGCACUAGAUCCCAUCAGAACUCCAUAGUUAAGCAUGCUUGGGAUAUAGUAGUAUUUCAAUGGGUGAACUCCUGGCAAGUCCUAGUGUUUUACAUGCC
rfam:Picea glauca, whole genome shotgun sequence.